rnacentral:rRNA from 1 species
CGAGGGGCAGCGGGGGUGCAGGCUUGCCUGCGCCUGCCGGCGACCGGCGCACGGGUGAGUAACACGUAUGGAACCUGCCCGCCACAGGGGGAUAACCCGGGGAAACCCGGCCUAAUACCCCAUGCCGUCCGGACCGGGCAUCCGGUCCGGGCGAAAGGAGGAAUCCGGUGGCGGCUGGGCAUGCGGCGCAUUAGCUUGACGGCGGGGUAACGGCCCACCGUGGCGACGAUGCGUAGGGGUUCUGAGAGGAAGGCCCCCCACACUGGAACUGAGACACGGUCCAGACUCCUACGGGAGGCAGCAGUGAGGAAUAUUGGUCAAUGGGCGGAAGCCUGAACCAGCCAAGUCGCGUGAGGGAAUAAGGCCCUACGGGUCGUAAACCUCUUUUGCCGGGGAGCAAGGGCCGGGACGCGUCCCGGCCCGGAGAGUACCCGGAGAAAAAGCAUCGGCUAACUCCGUGCCAGCAGCCGCGGUAAUACGGAGGAUGCGAGCGUUAUCCGGAUUUAUUGGGUUUAAAGGGUGCGUAGGCGGGCUUUUAAGUCAGCGGUAAAAAUUCGGGGCUCAACCCCGUCCGGCCGUUGAAACUGGGGGCCUUGAGUGGGCGAGAAGAAGGCGGAAUGCGUGGUGUAGCGGUGAAAUGCAUAGAUAUCACGCAGAACCCCGAUUGCGAAGGCAGCCUUCCGGCGCCCUACUGACGCUGAGGCACGAAAGUGCGGGGAUCGAA